GAGUGUAGAUCAUGCAACCCCACACUGAAAACCACGAUGACACAGAGCAUUUAUUUUACAUUUUCAUGGUGGCACAUCCAGUGUGAUGAUAUGUAUUUUUAAGAGAAGAGGCCUCGCUGAGGAUUAAAGAUCUUGGGAUGUUCAAAGCUGCUGUAAAUGCAUAAGGAAGAAGUGAGAAAAAGGAUCAGCUCCCAGGUGAGCCUGGGCACAGCCAGGUGUGGAGGAGUGCCAUCACCAUCCUCUUGUAUGACAGUCAGCAAUGCCUGCUGCAGGACACUGUGGGCUUUUUUUGCCCCAUCAAAGAAGCUCUGUGGAAAAAUUUUUUGGGAGCCGUGUCCACUGUUGGAGGCCACAGCUGGAGACAAGAUGCCAGAACUGAUGCACGUUCUGCCCGACAGGCCCAAGGGGUGAGGAAGGUAAAUGUGACCAAGCUCCAUCUGUGCCAUGAAACUGGAGACAAGGAAG